UUCGUAGGCGGUGCGGCAAGUCGGGAGUGAAAUCUAUGGGCUUAACCCAUAGGCUGCUUCCGAAACUGCUGUGCUCGAGUGUGGGAGAGGCGCGUGGAAUUGCAGGUGUAGCGGUGAAAUGCGUAGAUAUCUGCAGGAACACCCGUGGCGAAAGCGGCGCGCUGGACCACUACUGACGCUGAGGAACGAAAGCUAGGGGAGCAAACAGGAUUAGAUACCCUGGUAGUCCUAGCCCUAAACGAUCAGGACUUGGGGUGCCGCACGUUCGUGCGUCGUCCCGGAGCUAACGCGUUAAGUCCUGCACCUGGGGAGUACGGUCGCAAGACUGAA
rnacentral:rRNA from 1 species